ACAAGGGGCGCCUGUCGCGAGCUUCUGACAGGCAGAACCUGAUUGCCAACGAUCAGCUUUACCAGCCCCUCGGUGAGCGGAACGAUGGACAGUACAGCCGGCUGGCACCUGUCAAGGCCCGCAAGUGAA